rnacentral:rRNA from 1 species
UACCAGCACCCCGAGUGGUCGGGACGAUUAUUGGGCCUAAAGCAUCCGUAGCUUGUUCUGCAAGUCCUCCGUUAAAUCCACCUGCUCAACAGAUGGGCUGCGGGGGAUACUACAGGGCUAGGAGGCGGGAGAGGCAAACGGUACUCAGUGGGUAGGGGUAAAAUCCGUUGAUCCAUUGAAGACCACCAGUGGCGAAGGCGGCUUGCCAGAACGCACUCGACGGUGAGGGAUGAAAGCUGGGGGAGCAAACCGG